CUUCACUUGUGCGCGCACCUCGCUCCACUUUCUCUGCAACCAUGUCUGACAAACCCGAUAUGGCUGAGAUUGAGAAAUUCGAUAAGUCGAAAUUGAAGAAGACAGAAACGCAAGAGAAAAAUCCACUGCCUUCAAAAGAAACGACUGAACAGGAGAAGCAAGCCGGCGAAUCGUAAUGAGGCGCGCGCCGCCCAUAUGCACUGUACAUUCCACAAGCAUUGCCUUCUUAUUUUACUUCUUUUAGCUGUUUAACUUUGUAAGAUGCAAAGUGGUUGGAUAAGUUUAAAUGACUGUGCUACCCCUUUUCACAUCAAAGAAUCGAGAACUACUGA